rnacentral:lncRNA from 1 species
ACCCUUAGGCUCUAAAAUGAAGUGAUCCAACUGAUCUAGACUUUUGCAGAGGCUCUUACUUAUCUCUUCAUCACCAUCCUGUGUGUUUGCGUGGCUGUGCUGGUGCUGCUGCUGGUAGUUAUUGUCCUUCUUAAAAAAGGCAAAAGAAGAAAUGACGCUCCACCACAGAAUAACAGACAGGAGGAGUACGUCUAUGAGGAGAUACAGUUGCCAAGCGCAAGGAAGGCAGUAACCACGGUCUACGCCACAGCCGAUCCCUGUAAGGAGUCACUUCACUACAUGACCGUUGAUUUUGGGAAAAGUGGCAACACCUCUGAGCCCAAACCCAGCUCCUCUCACUGUCAAUACAGCACUGUGUUCAAUAAGAGAGCAGACACAUGCACCAUCCAAGCAGCACCAUCUGAGGAACCCCUGUACUGCAACGUUAACACAAAGUACUAAUGCAAUGGGGAGUGUUUUUGGGGUAUAGUAAAACAUGUGUGCUAUACAUAUUGUUUGCAGGACUUUGUGAAAAAUACUGAGCAGUUUGUACAUAAGGCUCCAUUGAAACCGAAUAUUUUGGAUACAUACUGUACAUAACAGGGUUUAUACUGGCAGGAGCAAGUCCAUUUUAAUGCCCAAAUACUAUAUUUCAAUGCCAUAAACGCAGAAAAAAAAUCUAUAUAUAUAUUUAAUUUCUUAAGAUUUGCAAACGGAGAAAAGAUUGAGUAUGUUUUAGUCCAUCAUUUACUUGUUUUUGGUGAACCUAUUGUUGAGCAAUGUCAUAUUUUUCUAAUAAAUUUGUCUAGUUUAAUGCUUUAAUACCUCACGGAAACCCUGCAUAAUUGUAAUCUUUGCGAUUUGCUAAUGCCAUAAUACUGUAAGAGAAAUGCUUUUUUAAAUUGUUCUUAUUUAGUCUAUUUUAGUUUUGUUCUUUGCCUUUAAUUUAAU